rnacentral:rRNA from 1 species
UACGUAGGGUGCAAGCGUUGUCCGGAAUUAUUGGGCGUAAAGAGCUCGUAGGCGGUCUGUCGCGUCGGCUGUGAAAACCCGGAGCUCAACUCCGGGCCUGCAGUCGAUACGGGCAAACUGGAGUGUGGUAGGGGAGACUGGAAUUCCUGGUGUAGCGGUGGAAUGCGCAGAUAUCAGGAGGAACACCGAUGGCGAAGGCAGGUCUCUGGGCCAUUACUGACACUGAGAAGCGAAAGCAUGGGGAGCGAACAGG